GAUAACAUUGGGAAACUGGUGCUAAUACCGAAUGGUCUUAUUUUAAUGCGAGUUAAAUUGAGUAAAGGUGGCCUCUGUAUAUGCUACCGUAUAGGGAUGAGCCUGCGUACCAUUAGCUAGUAGGUGGGGUAACGGCCCACCUAGGCAACGAUGGUUAGCGGGUCUGAGAGGAUGAUCCGCCACACUGGAACUGGAACACGGACCAGACUCCUACGGGAGGCAGCAGUGAGGAAUAUUGCGCAAUGGGGGCAACCCUGACGCAGCGACGCCGCGUGAGUGAGGAAGGUUUUCGGAUCGUAAAGCUCUGUCAGAAGGGAAGAAAUGUUAUAUGGUUAAUACCCAUAUAAUUUGACGGUACCUUCAGAGGAAGCACCGGCUAACUCCGUGCCAGCAGCCGCGGUAAUACGGAGGGUGCAAGCGUUGUUCGGAAUUACUGGGCGUAAAGGGCGCGUAGGCGGCUUUAUAAGUCAGAUGUGAAAGUCCACGGCUCAACCGUGGAAGUGCAUUUGAAACUGUGAGGCUUGAGUAUUGGAGGGGAGUGUGGAAUUCCCGGUGUAGAGGUGAAAUUCGUAGAGAUCGGGAGGAACACCUGUGGCGAAGGCGACACUCUGGACAAAUACUGACGCUGAGGCGCGAAAGCGUGGGGAGCAAACAGGAUUAGAUACCCUGGUAGUCCACGCCGUAAACGAUGAUAACUAGGGGUAGGGGGUGUUGAUCCCUUCUGUCCCGCAGCUAACGCAUUAAGUUAUCCGCCUGGGGAGUACCGGUCGCAAGAUUAAAACUCAAAGGAAUUUU
rnacentral:rRNA from 1 species